rnacentral:rRNA from 1 species
CCUACGGGAGGCAGCAGUGGGGAAUAUUGCACAAUGGGGGGAACCCUGAUGCAGCGACGCCGCGUGGGUGAAGGAGUACUUCGGUACGUAAAGCCCUAUCAGCAGGAAAGCAAAUGCUGGUACGCGUCUAAGAAGCCCCGGCUAACUACGUGCCAGCAGCCUUGGUAACACGGAGGGGGCAAGCGUGAUCCGGAUUUACUGGGUGUAAAGGGAGCGUAGUCGGCAGUGCAAGUCCGGAGUUAAAGGCCGGGGCUCAACCCUGGGACUGCUCUGGAAACUGGAAGGCUGGAGUGCGAGAGGGGCAGGCGGAAUGCGUGGUGUAGCGGUGAAAUGCGUAGAUAUCGGGAAGAACACCGGCGGCGAAGGCGGCCUGCUGGACCGUAACUGACGUUGAGGCUCGAAAGCGUGGGGAGCGAACAGGAUUAGAUACCCCAGUAGUC